rnacentral:tRNA from 1 species
GCUCAGUCAGUUAAGUGGUUAAGCGUCUGACUUUGGCUCAGGUCAUGAUCUUGCGGUUCAUGAGUUCGAGCCUCGCAUUGGGCU